rnacentral:rRNA from 1 species
UACAGAGGUCCCAAGCGUUGUUCGGAUUCACUGGGCGUAAAGGGUGCGUAGGCGGUCGGGUAAGUCUGAUGUGAAAUCUCACAGCUUAACUGUGAAACUGCAUUGGAUACUAUUCGGCUUGAGAGUUGGAGGGGGGACUGGAAUUCUUGGUGUAGCAGUGAAAUGCGUAGAUAUCAGGAGGAACACCGAUGGCGAAGGCAGGUCUCUGGGCCACUACUGACGCUGAGAAGCGAAAGCAUGGGGAGCGAACAGG